UACCUUUGGGAGACCCACUUGUAACUAACCA
rnacentral:piRNA from 1 species